AUAUUAGAAAUGGACGAAAGUCUGAUCUAGCAACACCGCGUGUGCGAAGAAGGCCUUCGGGUCGUAAAGCACUUUUUGGAAGUAAUAGGAAGGAAUGUACUUCCAGAAUAAGUCUCGGCUAACUACGUGCCAGCAGCCGCGGUAACACGUAGGAGGCAAACGUUAUCCGGAUUUACUGGGCGCAAAGCGCGUGUAGGUGGUACUGUAAGUAGGGCGUGAAAGCUCCUGGCUCAACUGGGAGAGGCCGUUCUAAACUACAGAACUAGAGGAUGGUAGAGGGAGGUGGAAUUCCAGGUGUAGCGGUGGAAUGCGCAGAUAUCUGGAGGAACACCGGUGGAGAAGGCAGCCUCCUGGACCAUUCCUGACACUCAGACGCGAAAGCUAGGGUAGCAAAC
rnacentral:rRNA from 1 species